UGGUGUAGCGGUGAAAUGCAUAGAUAUCACGCAGAACCCCGAUUGNGAAGGCAGCCUGCUAGGGUGAAACAGACGGUGAGGCACGAAAGCGUGGGUAUCGAACAGGAUUAGAUACCGUGGUAGUCCACGCAGUAAACGAUGAAUACUAACUGUUUGCGAUACAAUGUAAGCGGUACAGCGAAAGCGUUAAGUAUUCCACCUGGGGAGUACGCCGGCAACGGUGCAACUCAAAGGAAUUGACGGCGCGCCGCGCACCACGCCC
rnacentral:rRNA from 1 species